rnacentral:rRNA from 1 species
CACAAGCGGUGGAUGAUGUGGUUUAAUUCGAUGCAACGCGAAAACCUUACCUACCCUUGACAUGUCCGGAAUCCCGAAGAGAUUUGGGAGUGCUCGCAAGAGAGCCGGAACACAGGUGCUGCAUGGCUGUCGUCAGCUCGUGUCGUGAGAUGUUGGGUUAAGUCCCGCAACGAGCGCAACCCUUGUCAUUAGUUGCCAUCAUUUGGUUGGGCACUCUAAUGAGACUGCCGGUGACAAACCGGAGGAAGGUGGGGAUGACGUCAAGUCCUCAUGGCCCUUAUGGGUAGGGCUUCACACGUCAUACAAUGGUCGGUACAGAGGGUUGCCAACCCGCGAGGGGGAGCUAAUCCCACAAAGCCGAUCGUAGUCCGGAUCGCAGUCUGCAACUCGACUGCGUGAAGUCGGAAUCGCUAGUAAUCGUGGAUCAGCAUGUCACGGUGAAUACGUUCCCGGGUCUU